rnacentral:lncRNA from 1 species
CACGUGCAAAGAAACAGGUGGAGAACCCACGCCAGCCCUGUCUGCCUGGGAUACCGUCCCUCUCAGCGACUAACCAGGAACUCAGCCCACCUGCCUGCCCCUUUCCGACACCACUUUGCUGGGCUCAGCUUCAUGACCCUGAACUGAGCAACAAAGUUGAGAAACCAUUGCGACUGAACCAUUGGGAAUUGGGCUGCCGACUGAGGACCAAAGCCUCAACCUGGAGUUUCUAGGAGUGAAAGAAGACAGCAGUAUAGGGUAUGAGGUGUAAGACCCAGAAGCAAGCUGUCACAAUCACCAUCCCAAUGCUGACAGAUGGGACGUGAGAGAGGUUCUCAUGAGUCCCAUGCUAGCCUGAGGGCAACCUUAAACUUCUGCCCUGCCUGCCUCCACCUCCUGUGUGCUGGGACUACAGGCACCCAUAUAAAGAGAGGAAACAAGCAACAGUAUUCCCUUCUAUCAGGGGUCUUCCAGCCAGCCCGUGACCCAUCGUGACCUCUACCAUCCUGGGGCAAGG